rnacentral:rRNA from 2 species
UGAGGGGGGCUGCUCCUAGUACGAGAGGACCGGAGUGGACGCAUCACUGGUGUUCGGGUUGUCAUGCCAAUGGCACUGCCCGGUAGCUAAAUGCGGAAGAGAUAAGUGCUGAAAGCAUCUAAGCACGAAACUUGCCCCGAGAUGAGUUCUCCCUGACUCCUUGAGAGUCCUGAAGGAACGUUGAAGACGACGACGUUGAUAGGCCGGGUGUGUAAGCGCAGCGAUGCGUUGAGCUAACCGGUACUAAUGAACCGUGAGGCUUAACCUU